AAAAAAGAAAAAAAGACCAAAAAAAAAAGAAAGGAAGGAAAAAAAAAAAGGAAAAAAAAAAUCAUGAUGCAAUUUCUUUGGAUUGCAAAAAAAGCAACUCUUUACAUUUAAGUGAAGUGUCUUAACAUUUUAUAUUGUUUUAAAAAAUAUAUUUACAUAUUAUAUAUAUAUAUAUAAUAUACGUAAUAUAAAUCUAUAUAUAAAUAUUUAAAGAGGGGGAAAAGAUCUAAAAAAAAAAAACCUUAAAAAAAGAAAAAAAAAAAAAAAAAAAAGGAAAAAGAAGAGAAAUAAAUCAAUCACGUCCGGUAUUAUUUAGGGGGUGGAUUUCAAAUCCCUGCUUAGGUUUAGAGCUCCUCGUGGCUUCCAGAGCGGCUUCGUCGCCCUCGCACUGAGUCCCCGCCCUCUCUCCUUGUCCCCAGGUGUCGCCAGGUGUCCCCUGGUGGCCCCGGGGACACCGGCCCGUGCCCCAGUGCCAGCAGCAAUAGCAGUCGCGGAUGCGUCCGGAAUUAAUUUGAUUUUUAAUUAAUUUCUUUUCUCGGAACCAAAGUGAAUUCGCUGUAGCAAAGGCGCAGCUGCCGGGGCCGGGCGGGAGGUGGCACCUGGCGCUGUCCCCACCCCCGCCCCGCCGUCACCCCCACGCCGUGUCACCUUCUGUCACCUUGUGUCGCCGGAGGAGGGGGCGCGGUGACAGCUCGCAAGCUCUGCUGGCUGGAGGUGACAAUGCCACCCCCUUGGGGACACCCGCAUGGGGGUGACAAUGCCACCCCCUUGGGGACACUCACAUGGAGGUGACAAUGCCACCCCCUUGGGGACACUCACAUGGAGGUGACAAUGCCACCCCCUUGGGGACACUCACAUGGAGGUGACAAUGCCACCCCUUGGGGACACCCGCAUGGAGGUGACAAUGCCACCCCUUGGGGACACCCGCAUGGGGGUGACAAUGCCACCCCCUUGGGGACACUCACAUGGAGGUGACAAUGCCACCCCUUGGGGACACCCGCAUGGAGGUGACAAUGCCACCCCCUUGGGGUCACCAAAAUAUGGGGUGACAAUGCCACCCCUGUGGGACACCCGCAUGGAGGUGACAAUGCCACCCCCUUGGGGACACCCGCAUGGGGUGACAAUGCCACCCUAUUGGGGACACCCGCAUGGAGGUGACAAUGCCACCCCCUUGGGGACACCCGCAUGGAGGUGACAAUGCCACCCCUGUGGGACACCCGCAUGGAGGUGACAAUGCCACCCCUGUGGGACACCCGCAUGGAGGUGACAAUGCCACCCCUGUGGGGACACUCACAUGGAGGUGACAAUGCCACCCCUUGGGGACACCCGCAUGGGGUGACAAUGCCACCCCCUUGGGGACACUCCCAUUGAGGGUGACAAUGCCACCCCUGUGGGACACCCGCAUGGAGGUGACAAUGCCACCCCUGUGGGACACUCACAUGGAGGUGACAAUGCCACGCCCUUGGGGACACCCGCAUGGGGGUGACAAUGCCACCCCUUGGGGACACCCGCAUGGAGGUGACAAUGCCACCCCUGUGGGACACCCACAUGGGGGUGACAAUCCAUCCUCCAUAGGGACAUCCACAUGGGGGGGGGUGACAAUUGUCCCCCCUGUGGGGACACCCACAUGGGGGGUGACAAUGCCACCCCCUUGGGGACACCCACAAAAAUGUCAUGGGGGGGUGACAAGUGCCACCCUCCAUGGGGACACCCCUAAAAAUGACACUGGAGGGGGCUGUCCUCGGUGUCCCCACCUCGGUGUCCCCAUCUUGGUGUCCCCACUUUGAUGUCCCCACCGCGGUGUCCCCACCUCGGUGUCCCCACCUCGGUGUCCCCAUCUUGGUGUCCCCACUUUGAUGUCCCCACCGCGGUGUCCCCACCUCGGUGUCCCCAAGCUGUCACCGAUUUUGGGGCUUGUCCCUUUUCCCACCCCCGCUUUGUCCCCAGGCCACCCCUCCCAGAGCAGGGAGGUGACAGUGGCAAACCAGGGGGUGGCAGCACCAGGUGAGGGGGUGACAACGCCAGCUGAGGGGGUGGCAGGUCCCAAGCUGUCCCCAAACCCCCCCGCAAUGUCCCCUUGUCCCAGCUGGUGUCCCCGUGAGCGUGAUGUCCCCGCGUGUGCGUGUGCGUCCGUCCCCUUCAUGGCAUCGCUCAAAUCCCUCGCCGAAGCAAGAAACAGCAAAAAAAAAAAACAGAAAAAAAAAAAAAAUCAAAA